GAUGAACGCUAGCUACAGGCUUAACACAUGCAAGUCGAGGGGCAGCAUGGGCUUAGCUUGCUAAGCCCGAUGGCGACCGGCGCACGGGUGAGUAACACGUAUCCAACCUUCCGGUAACUCCGGUAUAGCCUUUCGAAAGAAAGAUUAAUCCCGGAUAGUAUGGUGAUUCCGCAUGGUUUCCCCAUUAAAGGAUUCCGGUUGCCGAUGGGGAUGCGUUCCGUUAGGUAGUUGGCGGGGUAACGGCCCACCAAACCUACGAUGGAUAGGGGUUCUGAGAGGAAGGUCCCCCACAUUGGAACUGAGACACGGUCCAA
rnacentral:rRNA from 1 species